GCCGUAAACGUUAUCAGCGAUUUUAUUUAGGAGAUACAUGUAUUAACGCUAAAAGACACGAGACGUUCUGGCGUAAAAUAUUGGACACGUUUUGGCGAAUAACAUUUAUCGGACACGUUUGGGGGUUAUGAAUUCGGACACGUUUGGGGAAUAUUGUACAUUUCGGACACGUUUAGGGAGAAAAGACACGUUUGGGGGAAUCGGACACGUUUGGGGGGAAGGACACGUUUGGGAGUGUUACA
rnacentral:lncRNA from 1 species